GAAGAUUUGAGGUUUUUGAAGUGUUCUUGAGCAAAGAGGUUGUACUAGAAACUCACGUCAUCACAUGCCGAAUCUUCCUCGUAUUAAGGGUGAUCAUUGUAUACAAUUAGAUGAUCUUGCAGGUUAUCAAGCUAAAGAGCUAGAGCCGGGACCCACUGUGGAGUUCCCAGCUAAGGACUGGUGGGUCCCUGAAGAUCUUGGGCAUGGGGCCGAGUGCCUGUGUGAGAGUUGUGUUGCGUGACAGCAACACUGAUACCAACCCAGGAUAUUGUUAAAUCUGAUGCGACAAGGCAAGGCUAUGAAAAGUAGUGGAUAUUCUUUGGAGGAGUAUGCAAAACAAACCUAAUCGAUGAAGAAUGCAAAGUCUGACAUUUGAUGCAUUGAUUGUAGGA